rnacentral:misc_RNA from 1 species
AAGUCGUAACAAGGUUUCCGUAGGUGAACCUGCGGAAGGAUCAUUAGGAUAGCAUUUGACCCUGUUUUGGAGACUAGAUAUAUAAUAUUUGUCAAUAACUACAAAAAAAAACUUUCAACAACGGAUCUCUUGGUUCUC